rnacentral:rRNA from 1 species
AGAGUUUGAUCCUGGCUCAGGAUGAACGCCGGCGGUGUGCCUAAUACAUGCAAGCCGUACGCACUGGCCCAACUGAUUGAUGGUGCUUGCACCUGAUUGACGUUGGAUCACCAGUGAGUGGCGGACGGGUGAGUAACACGUAGGUAACCUGCCCCGGAGCGGGGGAUAACAUUUGGAAACAGAUGCUAAUACCGCAUAACAACAAAAGCCACAUGGCUUUUGUUUGAAAGAUGGCUUUGGCUAUCACUCUGGGAUGGACCUGCGGUGCAUUAGCUAGUUGGUAAUGUAACGGCUUACCAAGGCGAUGAUGCAUAGCCGAGUUGAGAGACUGAUCGGCCACAAUGGAACUGAGACACGGUCCAUACUCCUACGGGAGGAAGCAGUAGGGAAUCUUCCACAAUGGGCGCAAGCCUGAUGGAGCAACACCGCGUGAGUGAAGAAGGGUUUCGGCUCGUAAAGCUCUGUUGUUGGAGAAGAACGUGCGUGAGAGUAACUGUUCACGCAGUGACGGUAUCCAACCAGAAAGUCACGGCUAACUACGUGCCAGCAGCCGCGGUAAUACGUAGGUGGCAAGCGUUAUCCGGAUUUAUUGGGCGUAAAGCGAGCGCAGGCGGUUGCUUAGGUCUGAUGUGAAAGCCUUCGGCUUAACCGAAGAAGUGCAUCGGAAACCGGGCGACUUGAGUGCAGAAGAGGACAGUGGAACUCCAUGUGUAGCGGUGGAAUGCGUAGAUAUAUGGAAGAACACCAGUGGCGAAGGCGGCUGUCUGGUCUGCAACUGACGCUGAGGCUCGAAAGCAUGGGUAGCGAACAGGAUUAGAUACCCUGGUAGUCCAUGCCGUAAACGAUGAGUGCUAGGUGUUGGAGGGUUUCCGCCCUUCAGUGCCGGAGCUAACGCAUUAAGCACUCCGCCUGGGGAGUACGACCGCAAGGUUGAAACUCAAAGGAAUUGACGGGGGCCCGCACAAGCGGUGGAGCAUGUGGUUUAAUUCGAAGCUACGCGAAGAACCUUACCAGGUCUUGACAUCUUGCGCUAACCUUAGAGAUAAGGCGUUCCCUUCGGGGACGCAAUGACAGGUGGUGCAUGGUCGUCGUCAGCUCGUGUCGUGAGAUGUUGGGUUAAGUCCCGCAACGAGCGCAACCCUUGUUACUAGUUGCCAGCAUUAAGUUGGGCACUCUAGUGAGACUGCCGGUGACAAACCGGAGGAAGGUGGGGACGACGUCAGAUCAUCAUGCCCCUUAUGACCUGGGCUACACACGUGCUACAAUGGACGGUACAACGAGUCGCAAGCUCGCGAGAGUAAGCUAAUCUCUUAAAGCCGUUCUCAGUUCGGACUGUAGGCUGCAACUCGCCUACACGAAGUCGGAAUCGCUAGUAAUCGCGGAUCAGCAUGCCGCGGUGAAUACGUUCCCGGGCCGUGCACUCACCGCCCGUCA